AUGGCUAUGCUGGGCACUAAAGGUUUAUUCUAUAUUUGGAUGAGUUUUAAGAUUUUCUCUUUUCUGCCGAUGUUUGGUUUGGGUUUCUCUGUAUUCCUAUAUAGCAACGGUGAAAUCUUACUAGAAAAGAAUGGCAAUAUCAUACAGAGUAUAUUACCCGUGGCUAAUCAUGAAUCUGAUGACGAUUCCUUUCUCAUGUUCCAAUUGAAGAAGUUAUUCGCCUAUAUCAAAAUGGAUGGAACAAAAACAUGA